CGAUGCUUCACCCUGACCAUUGCACAUCACAUCAGAGAGGAAGGCACAUGUGUGAUUCAUUUUCUUAAGACUCAAGUCUAAGGAUUUACCUAAGGACCCAGGAAUGUCAUGAGGUCCUGUUUCCUCCUUUUACUUAAAAAAGUCACCUUCAUGUGAAAUAACCUGCUAUUUUGCCAAACCGGUCUGUCAGUAUAAGGAAGCCUGGGAAUGCCUUAGCGGACCUGUAGAAAUCAUUGUGCAUCCGUGAGGAAGGUGUCGGAACCACACGGCUCUGAGGGCAUGGGGAGAAAACAUUCUGUGAACCGUCUGGACUCCAAAGGUUGAAGAAAAGUUUCUCGACAGCCUGCAUCUGCUACCAAAGUUUUCAUGUCGCACGAGCCAGUAUUAAACGUCAGUGAAUUACAGCUUUUUGGUGCAUUAACCUUAACUUUAACACAUUUACCAAAGGAGUUCUAAUCACUGGAGCCCAGGGGAAACAUUAGUAUUAUAAUCUAUACUGCAGCCCAGUAUUGAAAACUUUAUUAGCAUGCGGGAUGAUAUAUCAAGAUCUCUAAAAAAAAUGUAUCAUUUUCGCAAUUUGUCUUUGCAACCAUUAAAACUUUCUAUAAACAUAGAUCUAUGCAUCCAAUAAAGAGCAUCCAAUAUGA